ensembl:lncRNA
GGUGGCACCUGGCUGGCUGGGGCUGCUGGUCCACUGUCUGAGUCCAGAGUGAACUGUCCACUGGAGAGCAGCGUCGUGGUUCCUGGCUCUUGGCACUGUCACAGUUAAAUGGAAUGAAUACGUCAAGCAGGGACGGCCGCCAGGAAACAUCUCACUGGGGUCAAGACUGCCCUUUUUGAGAAAUCUUCUCUCUGAUUAUCUGCAAGAAAAAAAAAGUGCUCCUGAUGGAAGCUGAGCUGUGAAUUAGCAGAGUACAGAUCCCUUCAAGUCCCAGGCAGUCGUGUGCCUCCAGACCAGCCCUGCUCUGUGUAAGGACAACGAGAGGUGACGCGUGACCCACCCCACUGUGUGGCACCUGGAGUGAUGUUGGCUGCCUCUGUCUGGUCAGUGGCUGCUCCUGUAGGUCAUUGUUGUCCCCUGACUGAGCACGGAGGUCCAGGGCCAGGCAGGUCAGUGAGCCCAGGAGGAGCUGGGCAGGGGGUGCUGCCUGCCCACCUGCAGCUGGUGCAGAGGGCCAGCCAGUUGCUCCGACACAGCGAUCCCGAGUGUGCCCUGUCCAGGCCUGUGGCAUUGUCCUGGUGACCAGUGUCAUGGGGCCAUGCCCACUCAGAGCCAGUACUGGAUGGGGAAGAAGCAAACAGAAGAUGCCCUGGAUCCUAUCAAAGGAAUUGAUUGCUGCCCUGAAAUCUAUGGAGAAGGCUGAUUUGAAUCAUUAUGUUGCUCCAUUGCGGUCAGAUGCACUGGCAGUGGCUCCGAGGUUUUCAGGCAAGACCGGACUGCAAACGAAGAUUCCUGAUCCCACCUGGCCCUUGUAGCUAAAUGAUUCAUUCUUCUCGAGGACCCAGGGACGCUCGAUCACCUUCUCAGAGCUGUCAUCCAAGGUCCAGGCUAAUGGAUGGGAUUACCAAGGGGCGGAGGUCUGAGGGUCUCCAUACUCAAGGAGGGAGAGUCACGGGGUCCCCCCCCUUCCUGAAGGGCCGUGCUCCCAUGAAUUGGAAAAGAAAAUGAGCACAGAAGAGACACUUGGUGCCAUUCAAUUACCUGCCUGGUGGAGUGGGGUGUGUUGUUUCAGAACACAUUCUCACUGUAAUGCACUUCAGAUUUGGGAACAAGCACUAGCUGGGAGCUGGUUCUGUAGCCCCUACAUAUGGAGGAGGUGCUACCUGUUGUCUCAGCUGUGGAGCCCUGGGCCCCCUCUUCCUGGUGACCACAUCCCCAAAUCCUCGUAACAACUGCCCAGAUCCAGUGCAAAAGUGCAUCUUGUGCUUUGGAAGUUCUAAGAAGGUAGCUUUUGAUGCAGAAAAUGAACCAAGUAACACAGCAGGCUAAUCCAACCUUGAAGACCUGGGUACAUGGAGUCUAGGGUUUAGUUCCAGCAAUGCCCCUACAGGGCAUUUCUGGACAGGAAGUCAGUGUGUUGGAGGCAUUGGAUUCUGGUGACUAUUCACAGUCACCAAGAAAUGGCAUUGACCUGAAGGUCCACCCAUGGAUAGGUGGGUGAAGAAAAUGCUGUAUGUGAUCCCAGCACUCUGAGUGGCUAAGGUGGGAGGAUUGAACAUUUGAGCUUGGGCAACUUAGAGAGACCAGUUUCAAAAUAAGAAAAAAAAAUAAAGGGUUGGGGAUGUAGCUCAGUGCAAAAAGCCUUGGGUUCAGUCCCCAGUACUGAAAAAGAAGAAAAAAAAAAAAGAAAAGAAAAGAAGGAAAGGGAAAGAAGUGGUACAUACUGUGGAAUACUAUGCAGCCCUAGCAAGAAAGAAGCCAGCAUGUCGAGCAGCCUGAAUGAGCCUGGGUAGGAGGUGCUGGGGGAACAGGCCCACCCACCACAGUAGUACGCAUCCCGUAUGGCCCCCACUCCGGCACGGAACUGGAAGAGCUGCACUCAGAGCCGGGGAGACUGGGGGUCACUGGGCAAGGUGGGCAGGGGAAGACGUGGUGCUGGUCAGAGGACCAAAGGUUUCGGUGGGCCAGGAGGAGAAGCGCUCAGCCUUGGAAACACGAGUCCAGUGUCCCCACAUUGUAC